rnacentral:lncRNA from 1 species
AAAAACCCUUCCAAUGGAGAUAUUUUUAAAGUGAACGGCCAGAGAUUGAAGUCGUACAAUAUAGGGCAAGUUGUGGGCCAAAUUGAUAUUGUUCAUCUUGUCUGAUAAGAUGCGCAACCGUCGAGCCAAGCGACGUUAAACGAAGCGCUGCGUGGGAGGCAAUCCACAUUUUUGUAUCUAAUCAUUUUAUUUGUUUGGUAGUGUGUUUUCUACUUGCAGGUGUAAACAGUGUUUCAUAGAGGAGAUAAAGGUAGCAAUCGCAGCGAAU